AUCACUAAGCGGAGGAAAAGAAACUAACAAGGAUUCCCCCAGUAACGGCGAGUGAACCGGGAAGAGCCCAGCACCGAAUCCCCCGCGUCUCGCGCGGCGGGAACUGUGGUGUUUGGGACGUCCGUCGGCCGGUCCGAGAGCGUCCGAGUCCUCCUGAUUGGGGCCUUUCCCAGAGCGGGUGUCAGGCCUCUACCGGCGCUCGGAGACCGUCCCCCGGCCGUCCUCGGAGUCGGGUUGUUUGGGAGUGCAGCCCUAAGCGGGUGGUAAACUCCAUCUAAGGCUAAACACAGACACUAGUCCGAUAGCGGACAAGUACCGUGAGGGAAAGUU
rnacentral:rRNA from 1 species